GUUAGUGAGGGGUACACGGCUCACUGAAGCUAGAUGCUGCUUGCUUGAGAGAAUUUAGGAAAAUCUGAGGCAUGGGCCAAAACAAGCCAUUUGUAUGAAAAGCCACAGGAAAAAGCUUGGGUUGGCCCAAAAGUUGGUUGGGGCAGGGCCUCAGGGAAUCACUGGGGUAAGGCAAAUCAUGUGAGCCAGGCUGAUGGAGUCUCAGAUAUGGUUCCCGCUUGCUGGCUGUGUGGCUCUGUAUGAGGAGGGCUCAGAAAAGGAACAAUGGCCUCUGCCAGUACUUUUGUCUAGAAGAAAGCUGCCCCUCUGUUCUGUUCUCACCCUGAUGCUGGACAAUUCAGUUCUUACAUGUCUGACUCUGGUGUCUUUCAAUCUGCUAUCUGCUGACCCCAUGCUGGAGCUCAGAGGGAAUAAGUCCAGGUAAGUGUGCAUGGGCCCUUUAAGAGGGACUGCCUGAGACCCCAGCAGUUUCUAUCUUCCACAGCCUUAAUCCCCACUGGUGUUUACAGCCAGCAGUUACAGGGGCUUAUCUUCCUGGCACUGGAACCCUGGGCUGGGGAAGGCUGGUGUGGGGCUGGGACCCUUCAUUCCUGAGAUAUUCCUCCUGAUUUUUAUCUGCCACACAUGGAUGUAGGACCAGCCCAUUCUGCAUCCUUGGCCCCUCCUACCAGUAUUCAUGUGGUUUCUCCUUUAAUUCUAUACUUAUAGGAUUUCCAUUCAGUUCGAUUUCUGAUGCUUCUGAACGAUGGUUGUUCUAUAGUUUAGUUGUAAUUUUGAUGUGGUUGUAUAAGGAGGACAGCCAUAUU